rnacentral:rRNA from 1 species
CUACGGGUCGCUGCAGUGAGGAAUUUUGCACAAUGGGGGGAACCCUGAUGCAGCAACGCCGCGUGGAGGAUGACGCAUUUCGGUGUGUAAACUCCUUUUAUAUGUCAAGAAAAUGACGGUAGCAUAUGAAUAAGCACCGGCUAACUCCGUGCCAGCAGCCGCGGUAAUACGGAGGGUGCAAGCGUUACUCGGAAUCACUGGGCGUAAAGGACGCGUAGGCGGGUUGGAAAGUCAGGUGUGAAAUCCUACAGCUUAACUGUAGAACUGCACUUGAAACUUCUAAUCUAGAGUAUGGGAGGGGGAGAUGGAAUUAGUGGUGUAGGGGUAAAAUCCGUAGAUAUCACUAGGAAUACCUAAAGCGAAGGCGAUCUCCUGGAACAUUACUGACGCUAAGGCGUGAAAGCGUGGGGAGCAAACAGGAUUAGAUACCCUUGUAGUC